rnacentral:rRNA from 1 species
GGUGCGGCGGCUACACAUGCAAGUCGAACGGUAGCACAGAGGAGCUUGCUCCUUGGGUGACGAGUGGCGGACGGGUGAGUAAUGUCUGGGAAACUGCCCGAUGGAGGGGGAUAACUACUGGAAACGGUAGCUAAUACCGCAUAACGUCGCAAGACCAAAGAGGGGGACCUUCGGGCCUCUUGCCAUCGGAUGUGCCCAGAUGGGAUUAGCUAGUAGGUGGGGUAACGGCUCACCUAGGCGACGAUCCCUAGCUGGUCUGAGAGGAUGACCAGCCACACUGGAACUGAGACACGGUCCAGACUCCUACGGGAGCAGCAGUGGGGAAUAUUGCACAAUGGGCGCAAGCCUGAUGCAGCCAUGCCGCGUGUAUGAAGAAGGCCUUCGGGUUGUAAAGUACUUUCAGCGAGGAGGAAGGUGUUGUGGUUAAUAACCGCAGCAAUUGACGUUACUCGCAGAAGAAGCACCGGCUAACUCCGUGCCAGCAGCCGCGGUAAUACGGAGGGUGCAAGCGUUAAUCGGAAUUACUGGGCGUAAAGCGCACGCAGGCGGUCUGUCAAGUCGGAUGUGAAAUCCCCGGGCUCAACCUGGGAACUGCAUCCGAAACUGGCAGGCUAGAGUCUUGUAGAGGGGGGUAGAAUUCCAGGUGUAGCGGUGAAAUGCGUAGAGAUCUG